GCCGCCAGAAAAUAGUUCCACCCAAGGAGGAAGCAGUCAUCGAAGAAGAGCUCGAUUUUAGAUCACUGGCAUUAUUUCCUGCUUUUGUAUAAUAUGUGCCUAAUAAUUAAAAUAAUUUAGUUGUUCACGAUGAAUUAUUUGCUGCUAUACAGCUGGCCAAUUUGAUGGCGGAUGGAUAUGUACAGUAUUUUCCGUCGCACAGUCACGCAGCUUCAGUUCAAUGGAGAAGGGCGGUGGCGAGAGGUGGGUGACCCGCCGCCAGUACUUAUACUGACGUUUUCCCUGGCAAAUACUCUUCUUGUCACUAUAAGCUCCGGUAAAAGUCCGGAGAUGAGGCAAACAUCAACGCAGACCACACAGAACAUCGACAGCUGUGCAACGCUCCGAUAGAGAAGUGUCAAACUCUGGUCGACAAAGCCAAUAUCUUUCAGAAGCGAAGUCAGCACAGCUUGCAACAUCUGAUCAUAAAAUGAGGUUCCCCAAACAAAAGUUAUCUACAAUGAAACGUAACCAUUGGUGGCAUAUCACAUGGUGACACAUCGCUGAUGACAUCAAUGUUUAUUUUUUUAGGGCUUUGUCAGAACAUCCAACUUACUCACUCUGGGUUUGUUAGUCAGGUCUAUCAUUACAGCUGUCCAGCCUCUUGGAAACCCAGACUUCGGGGACUGUGCCUCUGGCUCAGUGGGGGCUGGUUCAGCUUAGUUAGAUGGGUCUGUUGGAUGUUUGGACAAUUGAAAGUUACAAAUUUGAAGGUUUUGUCUAAUGCCAAGUAAUACUGCUGUCAUCUGAACAACAGAAGCGGUUAACAUCCUGGAGCUUGUCCACAGUUGCCAUUGACUUCAAGUCAUUUAAAAUCACGAUGAAAUGGAUGGUCUUCAAUCAUGUCAGGCAGUUUGAUGAAUGCCUCUGUUGACAGAUUUCCAGCAUAUUUCAACGGCCAAAAAAUAUAAGAAAAAAACAUAAAUGGAUUAAAAGCGUGACCGAGUCAACUGUCCUUUUGUACUACUAUCCUUGUCUUUUGUUGCAUUUUCUUCUGAUUUUGGUGACCCACGUCACGUACUAUGCCUCCAAUCGAGUGGAAAGAACAGACACAGGUUACACAUAAUGGCCGGCAUGGGCCAGGCCAAUGGCACAUGGCAUCUCACUUCCAUAGACUUACCACUAGUGUGAGAUGGACAGGUCCCGGUCGUCCUCCGACCCGUUGGCGAUAUUUUUCGUGACGCUCAUCUAAGAUGGCUCCUCCCUGAGGGCCUCUCGCUCCACAGGCCCUGGUUACCCGGCUCGGUUUUCACUCCACUAUACACUGUAAACCAUCAUCGAGUUCUUACAAGACGAGGACGUUCAUACUGGCAUGAUAGAUCAAUAUGUAUCCUGGCAGUCCAUUUUGCUGGCGGUCUUCCUUCUCUAAGAAUACGAGAGAGCCGGACUGGACCUGCUCCUCAUAGUUUCCCUUGGCUAAAAUGAGUAAUAAGGAUAAAAAUACUUGUAGGCAAUGGUUGCCAAAUUUUCAGAUCAAUGACAUGCAUUUUCAAGUAUUUACAUAAAUAUGAAGAUAUUAAUGGAUGGAAGUUGAUGGGUACUGUCACAUCAGGUAAGCAAUAUUUAUUCUGCUGUGGCAUAACCAUCACCCACGCGCUUCAGUGUGAAAGACAUGGUGACAGCUUUGUAUUACCAUGUUUUGUCUUACCGACCUUGGGAAUUUUGAUGUGUGAGUACCUCGUUUUCCAUAUUUUCAGGAACUGGUGACUUCUGUGAUUGU